rnacentral:antisense_RNA from 1 species
CUUCAAGGAGCCCAGCCACAGCGGGGUUUCGCGCUUCUGGCCGUAGGUGGCGAGCAGCGCGUGCGCCUC